rnacentral:sRNA from 1 species
CCGUGCCUGACUUAACAGCAAAGUGAUGCUUGUGCUUGCACAAAGCAGCACUUUGAAGCUAAGUCAGAUAGGGCGAAGCCCGACAGUUCCAGAAGCCAGAGGCUUCUGGAACUUGCACGG